rnacentral:rRNA from 1 species
ACCCUAUAGAGUUUAACAUUUAUUAUGGUCUCUUUCUGUUUGUGAGGGUUCACUAGGGCUGUUUAAUAUGUUUUGUUGGGGUGAUGGGAGGGAUAUUGUUUAACCCCUCCUUUAUGUUGUUAUAUUUAUUUAUAUUUGCUUGAUCCAUUUAUUUUGAUUGUAAGAUUAAAUUACCUUAGGGAUAACAGCGUUAUCUCCCUUGAGAGUUCUUAUCGGCAGGGGGGUUUGCGACCUCGAUGUUGGAUUAAGGUUUAUUUUCGGUGUAGGAGCUGGAAAGUUAUAUUGGGUCUGUUCGACCUUUAAAAUCUUACAUGAUCUGAGUUCAAACCGGCGUGAGCCAGGUUGGUUUCUAUCUAUAAUGGGUUUUUGUACCUUAGUACGAGAGGACCAGGUA